GCUCCUAAAGGAUAACAGCUCAUCCAUUGGUCUUAGGAACCGAAAACUCUUGGUGCAAAUCCAAGUAGUAGCU
rnacentral:tRNA from 1 species